rnacentral:lncRNA from 1 species
AGAUCUGGAGACAUUACUUGUAUGGAACGAAGAGCACUAUCUUUACCGACCACAAGAGUUUACAACACAUUUUCGAUCAGAAGGAGCUCAACAUGAGACAACGACGAUGGGUCGAGCUACUCAGUGAUUACGAAUGCGAUAUUCGUUAUCAUCCGGGUAAAGCCAACGUAGUAGCAGACGCCCUAAGUCGGAAGGAAUAUUCUGGUCGCAAAGUCAAGUCAUUAUCGAUAACCAUCCAUUCACACCUGACUAAGCAAAUUCAGGCGGCUCAACUUGAGGCCAUGAAAUCUGAAAAUGUGUCAAGUGAAUCCCUUAGAGGAAUGGACAAGAAUUUAGAAGCCAAGGGUGACGGAGCUUUAUAUUUCAUGAACCGGAUCUGGACACCGAAACAUGGUGGCUUCCGAGACUUGGUCAUGACCGAGGCGCACAACACUCGGUAUUCCGUCCACCCAGGUUCAGAUAAGAUGUAUCUGGAUCUUAAGAAGCUAUACUGGUGGCCUAAUAUGAAAGCAGAGAUUGCUACCUUCGUAAGUAAAUGCCUUACUUGCGCAAAGGUUAAGGUCGAGUACCAGAAGCCCUCUGGUUUAUUGCAGCAACCAGAGAUCCCGGAAUGGAAGUGGGAGCGGAUCACUAUGGAUUUCAUAACCAAGUUGCCCAAGACAACGGGUGGACUUGACACCAUAUGGGUCAUCGUUGAUAGAUUGACCAAGUCUGCACACUUCCUGCCUAUCAAAGAAACCGACAAGAUGGAGAAGCUUACGAGAACAUACAUUAGGGAAAUCGUACGGCUACAUGGUGUACCUAUGUCCAUUAUCUCCGAUAGAGAUAGUAGGUUCACCUCAAGAUUUUGGCAAUCACUACAACAUUCCCUAGGAACGAGGCUGGACAUGAGCACAGCCUACCAUCCUCAGACCGACGGACAGAGUGAGAGGACCAUCCAAACUCUAGAAGAUAUGUUGCGAGCCUGCGUGAUUGACUUUGGGAAGGCAUGGGAUACUCAUUUACCCCUUGUCGAGUUUUCCUAUAAUAACAGUUAUCACACGAGCAUCAAGGCUGCUCCAUUUGAAGCUCUCUACGGCCGUAAGUGCAGAUCCCCUCUGUGCUGGGCUGAGGUGGGUGAUACCCAAUUAGCCAGGGGGCAAACUUCCGACAGUACUCUCACCGGUCCGGAGAUCAUUCGGGAAACAACAGAGAAAAUCGUUCAGAUCCGUGAACGAUUGAAAGCCUCUAGAGACCGACAGAAGAGCUACGCUGAUAAACGAAGGAAACCUUUGGAAUUUCAGGUGGGAGACCGAGUCCUCCUCAAAGUCUCACCCUGGAAGGGCUUGAUACGCUUCGGCAAGCGUGGAAAGCUUAAUCCGAGGUACAUAGGGCCUUUCGAGAUUCUUGCAAGAGUCGGCCCCGUAGCUUACAAACUCGAACUACCAGACGCACUUCGUAACGUACAUUCUACAUUCCACGUAUCUAACUUGAAAAAGUGUCUAUCCGACGAGACUCUUGUAAUCCCACUCGACGAGAUCGAAAUCAACGAGAGCCUCAACUUCGUGGAAGAACCUAUAGAGAUCAUGGACCGUGAGGUCAAGCAGACAAAGCAAAGCCGUAUCCCUAUCGUGAAGGUUCGCUGGAAUGCCAAGCGAGGACCGGAAUUCACUUGGGAACGUGAGGAUCAGAUGAAACUGAAAUACCCUCACCUUUUUGCUUAGUUAUUUGUAAAUUCUAGCUUGCUUAAAAUUCUAAUUUCGGGACGAAAUUCCUUCUAACGGGGGGAUGAUGUGACAACCCGAUAUUUCGAGUCAAUGUAAUGUAAAACCGAUCAAAUUUAGGUCAAAAUGUAACCUUCCUAAAAUCUUAUUCGGAUUAAAUAAAGUAAUAGGAAUCAUAUCAAGGUUUGCGUACAUAAAAAGAACGUCCAAAUCUGACUUCGGAUGAGGAAGUUAUGAAUUUUUGAAGAAAUUCCUUAAUCACGUCAUUUUAAUAAAUAAAUAAUAAAAAUAAUUUCGGAAUUAGCCAACGGAAUCUAAACGAAAGUCGUAGAUCAUGGUCUCACCUUCGCGUGGAUAUAAAGAACGUCAAAAACGGAGUUCGUAUGAGAGAGAUAUGAAUUUUUGAAGUUUAUUUAAAAUAAAUAAGAAUUUAAUUAUAAAUUCCCGGUAAUAUCCGAAGGGGAGUCAUCGGAUUGGACCGAAGUACGCCCUGCGUACCUUCGUACGCCCCGCGUACUGAGAUCGAGGGUCUCGGAUCGUCCACGUCGCACUAUCCGAAGAGUUCUAACCCGUCCGACCCGUCCGAAGCUCCGACCCGUCCGACCCGCUGUCCCGUCCGACCCGCCGUCCCAUCCGACCCGCGUACCCAGCAACCCGUCCCAUCCGAACCGAGGCAGUCGAGGCUUCGGUCAUGCAUGACGUACGCGUACGCGCUGCGUACGAGCGUACGCCCCGCGUUCGGAGGCGGUUCAGCCUUCCUAUAAAUAGGAUGCGAGGCUUUCCGAAAAUGUUGCUCAUUUCUCUCCUCUCUCUCACAACUUUGUCUCGUUUUCCGUGCCCGUUAUAACCCGAAGCUCUGGUCUUUUUGCUCAAGUCCCGAGGGUCGAUUUUACUCCCGAGAUUCCCGAGAAUCCCGAGAAAAAUCCGUUUUCCGAGACGAAACUCUGCCCGGUUUUCCAUCUCGCUUUCUUCAAUCAAUCAAGUGAGUUUCAUACCCCUUAAUCAACCUGUUAAAUAUUCUAAAUGCUUUUAUAUGCUUUCAAAAGGGGGGGAAUACAAGUUAAAUACUUAUAGUUAUUGUUUCAAUCACAUGUGAUUGUACUAAUCACAUGUGAUUAAUAACUAGGGAAAUCAGUGGUUUUAUCACUAUUCAAACUAUCUAUCAAACUGUUUUACUUCUAAAUGUUUUCCAAACCCAUUUACUUUUCGAAUUUACACUGCAACUGUGAUUUAAGCAAAUGUUCCUUAUACUUAAACUGUUUUAAUCAAAUCUACACCUUCAAAUGGUUUUAUAGAUUGACAUCAAGUCAAUCUUUCUUUAAAAAUAAUACUUAUGUUUCAAAUGCCUUAUAAAUACUUAUUUAUGCUUUUAUAUUACAAAUUGCAUGCCCAUAUAUGUAUAGACGUAUAAAUAAUGUUUAAAGGGCUUAGGAAGGCUAUCCACCUUGUUUCCUUUUCCUCGAUUUGGAUGUGGUCUGAUAGGAUUUUGGGUGACCAUCCGAAGGUCGUUUCCAUAUUAAUUAUAUAUCAAAUAUACAUAUAUAGACAUAAAAGUACUUCCAUAAUCAUAUGUACUAAACGCACUGUUAACAAGUUACCAUCGGGGUAACACAGAAUCAUACUAUUACAACUGCUAGAUCAAUGAGUCAGUUCAUUCAUGAGUCUAUACUAGGAAGAGAAUAUAUACAACUAUACUACGAGAACAUAUACAACUAUACUAGAACAAGAAACAUUUCAUCACACAUGCAAGAAUACGAUAACAAAUGUGAUCCACUGUAUCGGAGCAUGCCUUAAAUGUCAUGGCCCGAGUUGUAGCCAGAAUUCUCUUGGAGGGAGAGCGUUGAGUUUGCGUAUAGAUCUAUACUGGAUUGACUAUCCUACACCUUGCUGCUAGCUACAGCCGGACCUGCAGGUCUGCGGGUGCCAAACGUCAUUCCGUUAUUACGACCGUUCUUUAUGUCGUUGUUAUCAGUCGAUAGUAUGGUGCAAUUAUCACAUUAUACCUUAAUAUAAAUCCGGUUUAAGGUAGUAGUAAUUAGUACAACAGUAGUUCUUAUUAUACAAAACUACAGUACUACAAUGAUUUACCCAUUACAUAUUUUGGUGAUAAUCUCACUUAAGCAUUAAUGUACAAACUAUAUUUUAUCAAAUGAUAGUUAUACUUGGGUAAUCACACACUUUUACAACAGACGAGUUUACAAAACAGUUAAGCCUUGGUAGAAGGUUACUAUUAUAGAAAAUAUAGGAUUUUCUGAGAGAUUCAAACUUUUGCAAAUACUUUUAAACAUUUAUUUACAUUUUUACAAACUUAUACAUUGGGACAAGUUCAAACGUUUUUGACAAUGAACAUUGACACUAAAAUACUUAUGAACUCACCAGCUUAAUGCUGAUAAACUCUUUCAAAAUAACUUGUAUUCUCAGGUCAUCAGUAGACAGGUACCGAUGCCAGCUUUUGAGAUGAUGGAGCGUACUCAAGACUCAUCAUUUUAUUAUUUUGAUUUACGUUAUAUUUUUGGUGUCUAAAACUGUACAGAACACGCAUGUAUUAAAUUUAUAUAUUUAAUGCAAUGGAUGAUGUUGUUUGCCUAUUUACAUUUACUGUGUUGUGAUUACCUUACAUGACGUCCUCCGCCCCAGAACGUUUCCGCCGUUCUUGGUUUUGGGGUGUGACAGAUUGGUAUCAGAGCAUUGUUUAUAGUGAAUUGAGUAUAUCAACCCAUAAAAGAUAUACUAAACUAUAAACCCAUUGGGGAUUAAACUCUGACCAAGAGUCUAUACUUAAAAUAAUAAAAUAUUUAACUAAGUAUACUAGUCUGCAUUCAUACUAAAAUAAGUGUCACAAUGACAAGAACAAAAGUAUUACGAUUGUUAAAUAUCACAAGUGAGCUCGGGGAUGUAUGGUCAGUCCUGGGAAUGGCAUAGCCUGAUCAACUAUGCUGAUCCUAGGAGUGAUUAGCACAUGCCUUAGAAUGGUUGUGAUAGGUUAGCAAGUCUAAAAACUUACCAACAAUACCACAAGAAGAUCAAUAGAACUUAAACUUAAAAUACUAUAGGAGUAUUUUGCGCUACUAGUUACACGUAUACUAUAUUCUUAUACCUCUAUUCUCGCGUAGAUCUUGAUGGCUAGAUAUCCAUCAUGGCGACCCGUACUUUCCCAAUGAAGGCAAUGCCGGGUGGAUCGAUGAAGAGCCCGAAGUUGAUCAUCCAAUCCCUUUGGAUGAUCACCUCGCAGAAGGCUUUUCAGAUGGGUCCGACUCCGAGCCUGAAGUCAACAACCUACCGAUUGUAGGUCAAGCCCCGAACAACAACCCUCGACCAGCGUUUCCAGGUCCUACACCCAUGUGGGCAAACAACCGAACCGCUGGAGUGAUGAUCAGGGUCAACCCUUACCAUACUUUGGGGACCGAACCUUUUACAACGUCAGCGAUGGUGGCUCUACUGACCGAGCUCUGCCUGUCAUUAUCCGCAGAAUAGCUCGUAUUGUCGAGCAAGGUGGAGCAGCCGUCGACCGGGUCAUAGAGAUUGAUGCCGACUCAGGUGUCAACACAGUCAGCAUCCGCCGUCUUGAAGAAGACAUGGAACGGACCCGGAGGACAAAUAAAACCCUGCAGUAGCAGUUGGCUGCCUCACGAGCUGAAAUAUUGGAACUUCGAGCUCGUCAGAGGACUCAGGAUCGACCCAUUCAAGAGGUGUUUCGUCAAGUAUCCGACCGCAGUACUCGCCCGGGAUUUUCCCAUCGCCGUUGGUUGAUGUCUAGUACAGCUCCGUCUUUUAAUUAAAGGAUAGCCUUUAACAUCUGUGCUCCAAGUAGCGCUUGUGUGUAAAAUGUUUCUAACUUCCGUACUCAAAUUUGAAAUCUAAGGACUGUCAAACUUUUCUAUAUGGUAUGAUGUAUGACCUACUGUUAGGUCGAUUUUCCCUGAACUUAUUACAUCAGUAAUACCAGUAAAUUUUUGAGAUCUAUCUAUCUGGGGAAAAAUCUAUACACUUGUGCUUUCCUACUAAUAAUGCUUGUUGUGGUUUCAAGCACCCUUUCAACUGUUGGACUAUGUUUAGUUAGUCCAUGUGUCACUCUCGCGUUGCUUACAAAUUGAUUCUUACCAUCUUUCUUAUCUUUUUAAACUUUCAGCUGAAGGAUGCCUCCUCGCAAGUCUCCCAGGAAUAGGAAUAAUCCUGCACCUCCACCACCUCCUCCGCCUCCGGUCAUCGAUACUGUAGCCCUGAAUGCUGUUGUAGCUGCAGCAGUGGCAACUGCCAUGGCUCAGUAUCACUCUUCUGAUGCCAGCAGAGGUGGAACCCCUGUGGAAUCUAUUCCGAUCGAAAUCCCUGUGCGCUCAAGGGAGUGCUCUUACAAGGAUUUUACAAACUGCAAGCCGAAGCCUUUCUAUGGCACCGGCGGAGUCAUUGCUCUCUCGCAGUGGUUCGAGAAGACUGAAUCAGUCUUCGAAAUUUGUUCAUGCCCUGCUGCGUGCAAGGUGAAAUAUGCCGCCUGCACCUUUGAGGGUAAAGCCCUAACGUGGUGGAACGGCCACGUCAAAGCCCUAACUCUCGUCGUAGCCAACGACAUGGGCUGGGAAACAAUGAAAGACCUCAUGACUGAGGAAUACUGCCCGAGGGGCGAGAUCCAGAAACUGGAGCAGGAACUCUGGAACCUGUCGAUGAAGGGCACCAAUGUGGUCGCUUAUACUGCCCGAUUCAGCGAGCUGGUGGCCCUCUGCCCCAAUAUGGUUCCCACCGAGGGGAAGAAGAUCGAGAGGUACAUAUGGGGACUAGUGCCUCCGUAUCAGGGGAAUGUGCUAGCGUCAAACCCCGCUACCUUCGACAGUGCCAAACGAUUGGCACAACGACUCAUUGACCAUGGAGUCAAAACCCCUGCAACCACAACCACCCUAGCCAUCCCGGAACCCUCCAAACCCGCCGAUACUAAGCGGAAAUUCUGGGAUGAAAGGAAGAAGCAUCAGGCUGCCAAAAAGCAGCAAUUGGUGGCAAUUCAUGCCGCAGUAACCCCUACUGCUGCUACUACUGCUCCGGUGAGUCGGUAUGCUGGAAGUUCGCCCAAGUGCAACAAAUGCAGCUACCACCACAACGGCCCCUGCCGUGAAUUGCAGUGCUCUAACUGCAACAGGAAAGGACACACCGUCCGAUUCUGUAAGUUCCCGGCACAACCUAUCAACCAAGUCCCUGGCUCUGGCGCGAGCCCAACCUGCUAUGGAUGUGGCGAAGCAGGCCACUUUAAGAGGGACUGCCCCAAAGCGAGGAAUGCUGGAGGAGCAGGGAGGGUACUGGCUAUAGGCCACGGGGAAGCAGUUGCUGACCCGACAGUAGUAACCGGUACGUUCCUCCUCGAUAACUCCUAUGCAUGCAUUCUAUUCGAUAGUGGAGCGGAGCGAAGCUUCGUAAACCAUAAAUUUGCUCGCAUGCUUAAUCAACCACCGCACGCACUCAAAGAACUAUUUACAGUAGAAAUGGCUAAUGGAAAAACUGAAAAUACGAGUAGCAUAUACUUAGGUUGUACCCUAACCCUAGACAACCAUUCAUUUCCAAUCGACCUCAUGCCAGUCUCAAUAAAAAGUUUCGACGUCAUCAUUGGCAUGGACUGGUUAAGCCUUCAUCGUGCCGACAUCAUGUGCUUCGAGAAAGCAGUCCGUCUAAACCUUCCGUCUAACGAAACUCUUAUAGUCUAUGGCGACAAACCCGGUGCAAGUCUUCGCAUCAUAUCAAGUAUUCAAGCACAGAAAUACCUGCGUAAGGAAUACCACGCAUUCCUUGCUCACGUCGUCGACACGAACCUAGAAACGAAAGAACUAAAGAACCUCCCAGUAGUGAGCGACUUCCCCGACAUUUUCCCAGAAGAACUACCCGGAUUACCUCCGCAACGACAAGUCGAGUUCAGAAUCGACUUAGUCCCAGGAGCUACCCCAGUAGCCAAGUCGCCCUACCGUUUAGCACCAGCCGAGAUGCAAGAACUCUCUGGUCAACUUAACGAACUGCUCAGCAAGGGCUUUAUAAGGCCAAGUUUCUCACCUUGGGGAGCACCGGUCUUGUUUGUUAAGAAGAAGGACGGAUCCUUCCGUAUGUGUAUUGACUACAGAGAACUCAACAAACUGACGGUCAAGAAUCGUUAUCCUCUACCACGCAUAGAUGAUCUAUUCGACCAACUGCAAGGGGCGAACUAUUUUUCUAAGAUUGAUCUGAGAUCCGGAUAUCACCAGUUACGAGUGCUAGAGGAGGAUGUGCCGAAGACCGCCUUCCGAACUCGUUACGGACAUUACGAGUUCGUGGUGAUGCCAUUCGGAUUGACCAAUGCGCCCGCAGUCUUCAUGGAUCUGAUGAAUAGAGUAUGCCGACCCUACUUGGAUCAGUUCGUCAUCGUUUUCAUUGACGACAUCCUAAUCUACUCCCGAAGUAAGAAAGAACAUGGCGAUCAUCUGCGACAAGUUCUAGGGACAUUACGAAAAGAGAAACUUUAUGCGAAGUUCUCGAAAUGUGAAUUUUGGAUCCGAAGAGUCGAAUUCUUAGGACACGUGGUAAGCGAAGAGGGAAUCCACGUGGACCCAUCCAAAAUUAAGGCCAUUGAGAACUGGUCAGCACCGAAGACUCCUACAGAAAUUCGUCAAUUUCUAGGUCUCGCUGGCUACUACCGCAGGUUCAUUCAGAACUUCUCACGAAUAGCGAAGCCUCUUACAACCCUAACCCAGAAAGGUGUGGCCUUUGACUGGGAAGAGAAACAAGAAAGAGCGUUCCAAACGCUCAAACGAGCCUUGUGCACCGCACCAAUACUAUCCCUUCCCGAAGGAAUAGAAGACUUCGUAGUUUAUUGCGAUGCAUCAAACCAAGGACUCGGAUGUGUUCUGAUGCAGCGAGGUAAGGUCAUCGCCUACGCCUCAAGACAAUUGAAGACACACGAGGUUAACUACACGACCCACGAUCUUGAACUAGGAGCAGUAGUGUUUGCUCUGAAGAUCUGGAGACAUUACUUGUAUGGAACGAAGAGCACUAUCUUUACCGACCACAAGAGUUUACAACACAUUUUCGAUCAGAAGGAGCUCAACAUGAGACAACGACGAUGGGUCGAGCUACUCAGUGAUUACGAAUGCGAUAUUCGUUAUCAUCCGGGUAAAGCCAACGUAGUAGCAGACGCCCUAAGUCGGAAGGAAUAUUCUGGUCGCAAAGUCAAGUCAUUAUCAAUAACCAUCCAUUCACACCUGACUAAGCAAAUUCAGGCGGCUCAACUUGAGGCCAUGAAAUCUGAAAAUGUGUCGAGUGAAUCCCUUAGAGGAAUGGACAAGAAUUUAGAAGCCAAGGGUGACGGAGCUUUAUAUUUCAUGAACCGGAUCUGGACACCGAAACACGGUGGUUUCCGAGACUUGGUCAUGACCGAGGCGCACAACACUCGGUAUUCCGUCCACCCAGGUUCAGAUAAGAUGUAUCUGGAUCUUAAAAAGCUAUACUGGU